rnacentral:lncRNA from 1 species
GUCUCAUGCCCACCCUAGACCAAGAAGAAACAGGAUUCCCUUAGAUCUAUCACAAUCAAUUCCCUGGGACAGGGAGACUCACCCCCUAAAUAAAAUCCAGACCAUUUGAGAGGAAAAGAAGGGAAUGGUUGCUAAAUAGCUGACCACCAGGGCCUGCCUGGCUCACAGAUUGUUGUUUAACGGAAUUGGUGGCUAUCUCAGUCCCCACACUCCACUGAGACAUCAGGUAUGGAGCUGGGGCCAGGGGCCACUCAAAUUGACCUUACCACUGGCCGCAGCCCAGGCAGCCACUUGAAGAUGAAGGGCGACUUAGAAACAAUGGAAUGAAGGCGGUCCCCUCCCAUCACCCCCCCUCAGCCGGGGAGGAGCGAUGCACAGUCUGUGAUCACCUUCCUUCGUUCAGCCCACCAUGUGCCUGAGCCUUCUCUGAGUUCCCAGAAGGUGGUCGGGAACAAGCUCCCUCCACUAGGCCUGGCAGCCUCCUGGGGAAGGACAGACAGUCAACAAGAAAGCUGCUCAGAGUUUGGCUUGUCUACCUGAAGGUCAGAGAAGGCUUCUCUGAGCAGCUGACCUUGAGCUGAAAACUGGACGAGAAGCCAGCUCUGCAAAGACGGCAGGGAAGUGCAUUCAGACGGAGGAACACCAAGCACAGAAACCUUGAAGUGGGAAGGAACCAGGUGGGCUCCAGGAACAGGAAGGGCUGAGUGGCCGGCGAGGCGCUGGGCACCU